rnacentral:rRNA from 1 species
CCUACGGGAGGCAGCAGUGAGGAAUAUUGGUCAAUGGGCUUACGCCUGAACCAGCCAAGUCGCGUGAGGGAAGACUGCCCUAUGGGUUGUAAACCUCUUUUGUCAGGGAGCAAUUGGCGCUACGUGUAGCGUUAUCGAGAGUACCUGAAGAAAAAGCAUCGGCUAACUCCGUGGCAGCAGCCGCGGUAAUACGGAGGAUGCGAGCGUUAUCCGGAAUUAUUGGGUUUAAAGGGUGCGUAGGCGGAAUGCCAAGUCAGCGGUAAAAUCGCGGGGCUCAACCUCGCUCCGCCGUUGAAACUGGCGUUCUUGAGUGGGCGAGAAGUAUGCGGAAUGCGUGGUGUAGCGGUGAAAUGCAUAGAUAUCACGCAGAACUCCGAUUGCGAAGGCAGCAUACCGGCGCCCAACUGACGCUGAAGCACGAAAGCGUGGGUAACGAACAGGAUUAGAUACCCCAGUAGUC